UGGGGAAUAUUGCACAAUGGGCGCAAGCCUGAUGCAGCCAUGCCGCGUGUGUGAAGAAGGCCUUCGGGUUGUAAAGCACUUUCAGCGGGGAGGAAGGCGAUAAGGUUAAUAACCUCAUCGAUUGACGUUACCCGCAGAAGAAGCACCGGCUAACUCCGUGCCAGCAGCCGCGGUAAGACGGAGGGUGCAAGCGUUAAUCGGAAUUACUGGGCGUAAAGCGCACGCAGGCGGUCUGUCAAGUCGGAUGUGAAAUCCCUGGGCUCAACCUGGGAACUGCAUUCGAAACUGGCAGGCUAGAGUCUUGUAGAGGGGGGUAGAAUUCCAGGUGUAGCGGUGAAAUGCGUAGAGAUCUGGAGGAAUACCGGUGGCGAAGGCGGCCCCCUGGACAAAGACUGACGCUCAGGUGCGAAAGCGUGGGGAGCAAACAGG
rnacentral:rRNA from 1 species